rnacentral:misc_RNA from 1 species
GAUGAAGAACGCAGUAAAAUGCGAUAAGUAAUGUGAAUUGCAGAAUUCAGUGAAUCAUCGAAUCUUUGAACGCACAUUGCGCCCGCCAGUAUUCUGGCGGGCAUGCCUGUCUGAGCGUCAUUUCAACCCUCAUGCCCCUAGGGCGUGGUGUUGGGGAUCGGCCAAAGCCCGCGAGGGACGGCCGGCCCCUAAAUCUAGUGGCGGACCCGUCGUGGCCUCCUCUGCGAAGUAGUGAUAUUCCGCAUCGGAGAGCGAUGAGCCCCUGCCGUUAAACCCCCAACUUUCCAAGGUUGACCUCAGAUCAGGUAGGAAUACCCGCUGAACUUAAGCAUAUCAAUAAGCGGAGGA